AGGAAGAAAGGAGAAAGAAGAAAUAGUUGAGUGAAAAGGCAAACUAAGUGAAGCUUCGAUUUUGUGGGAUUUACAGCACCCAUGAGCUCUUUCUCUCUAUUUUCCUAUCAUUAAGCUUCAUUACUUCUAGGAAUUUAUCCUUUAUUGAGAGAUAUGGGUUAGAUCUCUGGUAGAUACGAAAUAUUUAGAGAAAAAGAAGGUGGAUGAUCCACAGGUUCAACCAAGUUAUGCAAAAGUCCUCCAAGAUUUGUAAGAAAUAGAUGCAUACAUGAGGGUUGAUCUUAGAAGUAUGGUGAUUUUGUGCAAGACAAGUAAUGGCAAUGGUGACCAAGGAUGUGAGGAGAUUGUGAACUAUAUGUGGAACCCAAGAUAAAGAUUGGAAGGUAAGCAUACAAUGUGAGUACACUAUGUUGUGUUGGCUUUGGUUAGUUGAAAGUAUGUGGAUUGCAUGUUAAAUUGUUAUGAAUGAUGAGGAUGAAAAAUGUGAUAUUAGAUUAAGGAUUAAUUGAUUGAAGUGUUGCCCGUACAUGUGUGUAAUUAAAUAUAAUGAGUUUGAAUUGUUGCUAGGAAGCGUGUAAAUGAGGAAGGUUUGCCGUGGUGGCAUACCGAAAGAAAUAACAGGUGACCGGCAAGUAGAAUCAGCUAGAAACACACUCGAACCAAUAGCGACAUAGUGUCCCACUAUUGAAAAGUGAGUAGAGGGUGCCUAUUUAAAAAAUUUUCAUAACUACAUAAUGAUAUACGUAUAGUAAAUGUUGCUAGUUUUCUUUAAAUGCAUUUGUGGAAAGCAUGAGUUGCUAGAAAAUGAUAGGUAGUUUCAAAUACUUAUUUGCGAAAGAUUUAUACACUGUUAUUAUGGAAAGCAUGAGCUACUAGAAAUACUAGGCAAUUGUGGAUGCCAUGACUUUUGAAAUUGCUUUGAAUAUAUAAAUAUAUAUAUAUAAGCUAUAUAUGUAAUUAAAAAUCAGGAAACAAGCUCUUUAACACUAAUUAUGUCAAAAUUUACCUUAUUUUUUGUGUGAUGUGUAUUCAUGAAUAAAUUACAUGUUCACCAUGCCGAUUUGAUAUUUAAACCUCAUGCAAAGGUUUUAUAUUAUAAAGUCUUACAAAAGGGUUUUAUUAUAUUAACAUGAAUGGUAUUUUGGAAAUGGAUUCGAAAUAAGCUUUUAGAACGCAAUUUGCUUUUAAAUAGCUUUAUCAAACAGGGAGAUUUGAGAGAAGGUCAAAUGUCACAUCGAGAUAGUGUGACUUUUGUGCACAAGUGAGUUCUAGCUAGAGAACCUCUAGGCCGCUGACGGGUUGUUAGACAUGGCUGGGGCCUCGAUUUGUGAUAUAUACAUGGCAAGGCCACAGGUUGAUAAAUGUGGCUAGGCCACAAGCCGAUAUAUGUGGUUGCGACCAUAUGUUUUCUUCGAUGUCAGCCAAAAUCAUUGAGACUGCAAUGGUUGUGUGAAUCCGGUGGAACGGCUCUCCUAGAUUGUUAUUAUGUGGAAGCUAGUCCACGAGUUGAUUAUUUAUGAUUACCUACUUGAAAGUGAUAUCUCUUUGGGUUUUCAAACACAACUUCUUUUCCAUGGUGAGAAAUACAAGUGUUUCUACAGCUCCUUUAUUUAUAAAAUGAUUUUAUGUUUAAUACCUCGAGGAUGAGAUUAUUUAUGAGCUUGUGUAAAAGCUUUGAUAAUGUUUAAUUUCAUGGGAAUGUGUGUGCUUAUGUUAGUCUAAUUUUAAGUAAAGGACAUUAAAUGAUUUUGACGAUAGAAAUCUUUCGCUCACACUGGUUUUGAUACAAUGACUAUUAAAUGAUUACUUUGCAUUAAAAUUCUUGGUUUUAUAUGUAAGGCACAAAUGUUCCAUUUGCAUUAAAAUGGUUUAUAUAUUCAAAUGAUUUUAAUAUUCAAAUUAUCCAUCCUUAGCUUGUUUCCUAUCUAUACCCUACUCGUAGAGCCGAUGAUCACUGAGUUUGUGAGACUCACCCCCCUUAUCUCCCUUUUGUAGAUAGUGAUCGGCCUAAUGUGCAAUCAUUGGCACUUAUGGUCCACCGCGGAUAGGUAAAGGCAUCUCAUAGCACUUUAUUUUGAGUCGCUUCACUGUUGGUGGUCGAGUCGUUCGUAGUUCAUUUGUUUUCUUUUUUUGUAAAUAGACACUAAUUUCAAUACAAUUGUACAGUUUGA